rnacentral:rRNA from 1 species
GACGUAGGGGGCCAGCGUUGUUCGGAAUUACUGGGUGUAAAGGGUUCGUAGGCGGUGUGGCAAGUCGGGAGUGAAAUCUCUGGGCUCAACUCAGAGACUGCUUCCGAAACUGCUGUGCUGGAGUGUGGGAGAGGCGCGUGGAAUUGCAGGUGGAGCGGUGAAAUGCGUAGAUAUCUGCAGGAACACCCGUGGCGAAAGCGGCGCGCUGGACCACUACUGACGCUGAGGAACGAAAGCUAGGGGAGCAAACAGG